GCAGACACAUUCCAGCCAAUCAGCAGCAGACCCUCCCUCCCAAGCCCCUCCCACCUCCUGGACAGCUCACUAAGAAUGCAGCUUCACAAUGAAUGUAAAAUGGAUGCUGUCCAGGAUGUGGGAGGGUCUAGGAGGGAGGGUCUGCUGCUGAUUGGCUGGAAUGUGUCUG
rnacentral:miRNA from 1 species